rnacentral:lncRNA from 1 species
UUAGAGGACUGUGGCCCAGAAACCCUUGGGCAGAACCUGCCUGGACUUGCUGAACCAGUAUGGAGAAAAUUCCCAAAGUCAGGGUUGGGUCAUCAUUAGCAACUAAGGAAGAGCAAAACAGAUGAGGACCUUGAGUAGAUAAAGGUUUGAAUAAUCAAAAGUCCAACAGUUGGCUUGUUUUUAUUGAAAUACAAGGAUUGACAAGUUCACUGGGAUAUCAGAAGUGAUACUUGCAUACUUCUAAUUGGCCAGAUCCCAGCCAUCUAGCACAGCCUCACUUAAACCAAAAGAAACGGGUGCAUCCACCCUGUUUUGCAGUUACUCUCCAGGUGUAGUUCUCAUUGCCUUGCUUCUCUUUGGUAUUCUCCCCUCCAUCCCAUACUGCAGAGAGAACCCAGGUACUCUACCACUGAGCUGCACCCCAGCCCUUUUUAUGUUUUAUUUUGAGGCAGGGUCUUACUACUUGCUGAGGCUGGCUUGGAACUUGAGAUCCUUCUGCCUCAGUCUCCUGAAUAGCUAGGAUUCUAGGUAAGCACCCUGCACCCAACAUUUGUUUGGUGUUUUGUUUUGUUUUGUUUUUUUGCAGGGAGCGGGUACCAGGGAUUGAACUCAGGGGCACUCCACCACUAAACCACAUCCCCAGCCGUAUUUUGUAUUUUAUUUUGAGACAAGGUCUCACUGAGUUGCUUACCACCUCGCAGUUGCUGAGGCAGGCUUUGAACUCACAAUCCUCCUGCCUCAGCCUCCCAAGCCGCUGGGAUUACAGAAAUGCGACCAGCACCAGGCAGCAUUUGGUGUUCUUAAUUGCAUCAUGUACAUGAUAAGAAGGAAGAUGAUAAUAGACGGACCGACCAAUGUUAUCUAUUGCUUCAGUAGAUAACACUGGGUCAAAGAAGAGAGGAAUUCCUAAAAUUCAGUCUUUGCCCAACUUUGGUACAUUGUGUAAGUUAUUUUAUCCCUUAUUAUUUUCUUUUUUCUUUUUUGGUGCUGGGGAUUGAACCCCCAGGGCACUUUACCACUGAGCUACAUCCCUACAUGCCCAGUCUUUUCUGUAUUUUAUUUUGAGACAGGGUCUUGCUAAGUUGUAUAGGUCUCACAAGUUGCUGAGGCUGGCUUGAACUUGUGAUCCUCCUGGCCUCAACCGCCCAAAUCAUUGGGAUCACAGGUCUGUGUCAGGUCUCUCCAUCAUGGCUGGCCACUAUUCAUCUUUUUGCAGGGGAGAGUUCUGGGGAAAAUAGUUUUCAAUGGGGAAAACACACUUUUGAAAAUGCUUAACUUAUUAAAUGCUUAUAAUACUGUAGACACAAACUAUCAAGCAAUAUUGCAGUGUUGCCAACUGUAGCAUAAUCUGUAAUAGGGGAAAAUUAGAAAUUUUCUGCAAGAAUAGCAGCUGGGCACAGUGGUUUAUGCCUAUAGUCCUAGCUACCCAGGAGGCUGAGACAGGAGAAUCACUUGAACCCAGGUCUUUAAUACCAGGCUAGGCAACAUAGGGAAACCCUAUCUCAAAAUUUAAAAAAAAAAAAAAAAAACCCUGUGGGCAGGGGGAGCCCAAGAGAGUGUGUGUGUCUAUCUCUCACUGUGGUUUUUUUUUUUUUUUUUUUUUUUUUUGGUAUUAGGGAUUUGGGAAUUUAACCCAGGAGCACUUUACCACUGAGCUACAUCCCCAUAUUUGUUUGUUUGUUUGUUUUGUUACUGGGGAUUGAACCCAGGGGUGCUUAACCACUGAGCCACAUCCCCAGCCCUUUUCAUUUUUUAUUUUGAGACAGGAUCUCGCUAAGUUGUUUAAGGUCUCACUAAAUUGCUGAGGUUGACUUUGAUCUUGAGAUCCUCCUGCCUCAGCCUCCUGAGCCACUGGGAUUAGAUUGAACCCAGGUGUGCCCAGUAUGUGUGUGUGUGUCGGGGGGGUCUUGCUAAAUUCCUAAAGCUGACCUCGAAUUUGUGAUCCUUCUGCUUCAGCCACCCAAGCUGCUAGGACUACAGACAUGUGCCACACACCUGGUUCCAGUGAAGUUUGUAUAGGUAUCAGAAACUAUGAAGGUGAUACAGCCACAUGAAAAAGAGAAUUUAAGUUAUUUGAUUAUUUGAUAUGAUCACAGCAACCCUGGAGUAGUCGGAGAAUCAAAAGUCGGAGGCCAGCUAAGACAACUUAGUGAGAUCCUGUCUCAAAAUAAAAUUAAAAGGGCUGGGAGUGUAGCUCAAUCCCUAGUACCACAAAAAAAGCGGGAGAGAGGAACAUACCCCCACACAUACACACACUUGUCAGUAAGUUUCUCUCCAUACACUUCAAUCUGAAUAAAUGUAUCACAAAAUAAAACAUACAUUUUUUUUCCCCCAGGCUGGCCUCAAACUCCUGGGAUCAAGGCAGCCUCCUUCUUCAGCCUCCCAAGUAGCUGGGCAAAUUCAUGUUUUUUUGUUUUGCAGUACUAGAGAUUGAACCCAGGUGUGCUCAACCACUGAGCUACAUCCCCAACCUUUUUUAUUGGUUUGUUUCUUUUGUAGUUUUGAGACAAGUUCUUGCUAAGCUGCUGAAGCUGGCCUCAAACUUCCAAUCCUCCUGCCUCAGUCUCCCAGUAGCCUGGCUAACUGCGUGUUUUCUGAAUGCACACUGUGUGCCAGAAGCAGCCUAUCAGGCCCACUUGGAAGAGUUUACCACCUGAUGAGGCACUCAUUGGUUGACUCCUCCCUCUGCCAGGGGAGUCCCAGGUCUGGUUCCACCAGCUGUUCAAGCCACUCCUCUUCCCUGUCUUGUUUCCCUGUUGUCGGGAGGAGCCAGGUGUGUGCAAGCUCUACCAUGACCUCUCUGUCUGCAUAUUGUCCUGGCUCCAGUUAGGCCACUUGUCAUACCUGGUCAAGAAAGGUCAAUGUGUGGUUUGUAGCCAAAGAAAAAAGAAGAGGACCUGCCAAACCAAAAUGGGGUACAAAAAGGGGGUCUAGGAAGGGCAUCUGUUCCCACAGGAGAGCCAACACCGGUGGGCACAAGCCCAACUCACACAUGUUUAAAAAUGACAAAAUGCUCUUUUAAAAAUUCCUAUUUCCAGACGAUCUUAAAUAAGAGGGUGGAUUCGUUCUCACAAGGUGUUUGGCCAUAAUAAAUCCUACUUUGAUCACAUGACUGAAGAUGUCACCACUUGGUAAUGGUAAUUAAAAGUUGUUAGUAUUUCAACCACUACAAUCAUAGUAAGUAACGUGUGUAAUGUUUUAAAUCAGGCUACAAGACAAUUUCACAGGUACAAUCACACAUAGACCUCACAGAA